rnacentral:rRNA from 1 species
AGGGAUCAUUAGAGAGUAUUAUAACUCCCAAACCCAUGUGAACAUACCUCUCGUUGCCUCGGCGGAGAGAGGGAUUACCCCGGUGUGGAUACCCGGAGGCGCAUACCCAGUGUGCGCCGCCCGGCACUCCGGGGCUGUCUCUCCCGCCGCCGCUGGCCCGUGAAACUCUGUUUUAUUUUGGAAUUCUGAAUAGCAAACUAAAUAAGUUAAAACUUUCAACAACGGAUCUCUUGGUUCUGGCAUCGAUGAAGAACGCAGCGAAAUGCGAUAAGUAAUGUGAAUUGCAGAAUUCAGUGAAUCAUCGAAUCUUUGAACGCACAUUGCGCCCAUUAGUAUUCUAGUGGGCAUGCCUGUUCGAGCGUCAUUUCGACCAUUAAGCCCUCGUUGCUUAGCGUUGGGAGUCUACUGGCCUGGCCUGUAACUCCUCAAAGUUAGUGGCGGAGUUAGUGCAUACUCUAGGCGUAGUAAUUUAUCAUCUCGCUUUUGUAGUUGUGCUGGCGCCUGCCGUAAAACACCCAAUUUUUAUAGGUUUGACCUCGGAUCAGGUAAGAAUACCCGCUGAACUUAA